rnacentral:rRNA from 1 species
GAGGAAUAUUGGUCAAUGGGCGAGAGCCUGAACCAGCCAAGUCGCGUGAAGGAAGACGGUCCUAUGGAUUGUAAACUUCUUUUAUACAGGGGUAAAACAUACCAUGCGUGGUAUCUUGCAAGUACUGUAUGAAUAAGCAUCGGCUAACUCCGUGCCAGCAGCCGCGGUAAUACGGAGGAUGCGAGCGUUAUCCGGAUUUAUUGGGUUUAAAGGGUGCGCAGGCGGACUUUUAAGUCAGCGGUGAAAUUUCGAGGCUCAACCUCGAACCUGCCGUUGAAACUGGGAGUCUUGAGUAUAGAUGAAGUAGGCGGAAUUCGUUGUGUAGCGGUGACAUGCUUAGAUAUAACGAGGAACUCCAAUUGCGUAGGCAGCUUACUAAGCUAUAACUGACGCUCAAGCACGAAAGCGUGGGGAUCAAAC